AUAAUAGUUAUGUGCCACUUGAAUGUUUUCAAUUGAAUUAACCAUCACCAUUAAUUACCCGAGGUUAGAAUUCUUUCCAUUAAAUUGGCGUAAUCUUCCAGGGUAAACAAGACCUCUAUGAAGUAAAAUUCUUCGAUUUGCACUAGUGGACAGUUUACCGUCCCUGUUUGACCUGGAUAUCUGUUUUAUUGAAAUUUAUUAAGGCUUCAC